AUCAGCAGGCCCAACAUCUGCCAACAUCUUUUGGUCCUUCUGACCAUCUAAGUGACUUGUGACGGGGUCACUUGCCAGCCAACAACAUUAAACUAAACAUAAUCAAAAUAGGCAAGGGCGAAUCGAGAAGCUGCCCAGGACUAUGCACUCAGAAAAAAUUUCUAAAGUAAAAUUAAAAUUUAACAAACGGAGUUUUAAUACUUACUAGAGCUUUUCGAACUGGCUUAGAUUUAUGUUCUUGUACUCACUGAUUUGGACUGGGCGAAACGUUAAAGUGUGACCGAGAACUUUGUGACAAUUUAUGGGCGCGAAAACUUUUGGCAUUUCCGUAAGAAACGACAAUGCAGCUGCCAAUUGCCAAAAGCCGCGCCACAACUAGUAAUAAAGUAGCCUGAACCGCGCACUCGAAAAAAUGGGCAGUAUUGGGAAAAGUUGCUGGCGCAAAAGAAAAUAUGAAAGAAAAUUUCAUUAAGCUCUGGCAGCAGCCAACUUGCUAAAAAGUUAAUCUAGCAAACUUUUUGGACAGCCAAAUUUUUCAGCUGCCAGCAUGUGUGUGUGUGGUGUGUGGUGUGUGCCCCAAAGAUUUCCAUUCACAGAUGAUCUGCUCGAAUGGACGCCAACUUUAUCUGUCUUAGAAAAAAUUAUGAAGAUAUUUUGCAAAAUUUACUGGCUGGCAAGGAUGUGCUCCAUCAAUUUGCUACUCUCUCAAUAGACCAGCUCAUGUGCUGCUGACACAUUCAAUUGAUUAAGCCAAGCCACAACGCCGCCAAGGAAACUUUUCGCCCAGAUCCUGGCUGAAUCCUGGCGAAAAGGAGGUGCGGCGGUGCUCAUUGCAAGGCAAAGUUAAUUUUGAAUCGUUUAUCAAACAGCGUGGAGCUGCAAACUUGAAGUGCAUGUGCUGGCAGGCUGCCAUAUUCGAGUACCUGACUCUAGAAUUUGACUAGAAAAAACUAUAACCUUGUGUGGAAAAUACUGUGCAUAUACGUAGAUGUGGGGGGAAAAACUGGUGAGCUUCAGCUAUUUGUCAAAUUUGACUCGACUUUGGCUGCUCUGGGCUCUGGGCCUGGUGCAAAUUGAUGAAAUGAGUUGUGAAAAUUCACAGAGAACCUACUUAUAUGCCAUAUGCACAUGCACAAGUUAAUGGAAUCAAUGCGGCAGGUAUGAAAGUAAACGGCAUGGAAAAUAAACCAAUGUUAUGCAAACAAAUGGUUGGGAGGAAAAGAAAAACUUCUUAAAAGCGGAAAAUAUCUGCAUUUCCGUUUGUGGCCAAGAAUGUAGAAAUGAUCAAGUGCCAGUUGCCAAAGAAACUAUUUUGGCUGAUUCCCACGGCAGCCAGUCAAUCAUGGAGUCACUUAGCACGCUCCAUAUCCUGGUACUCGAUGCUCGAUAGAGAGAUCUGAUUCCAUACAGUACAUAUGAAUUAUCCUUGACACGUAUAAUUCGCAGCCACUAGCUGCUGAGGUGUAAUCGUUUACCGCUCGAACGGAGUGCCAAAUGAGGCGACACACCGAUGCACUGCAAGAAAAUUGGUUAGUUAUCGAAAGUAGGAAGCAAAGUGAACAUUUUAGGAGAAACACCAUCCUUUCAAGUGACUUUUCCAACUAAAUUUGUGAUAUACUCUUUUUGAACAGA